rnacentral:lncRNA from 1 species
UGCAACACACACUAAACCCCUGAGCUCAGCCCAAACGGAGACUCCUUGGAGCCCAGAAGUAGCUGCUCGGAGCGCUCCUGGGUCCGUACUGCCAGCCCCGUAGCCCGUCGUCUCCCGAACCAGACACUGCCUCUCACGGGGGCGGAGGGAAUCCCUCCGCCUGCCUGACCCACAAAGCCUGGGAGAUGGAAUCCCUGCGGUUUGCUUGUCUCUGUGAACUGUGCGACUGUGGUCGACACAAGCGCCACAAGAACUGCAAGAAGCGGAGCAGGCCAGCGCCUCAGGACUGCAGGAGGCCCCAGCUGUCCCAUUACAAGGCAACUUACACCCAGCCACCAAACGUGCAUCCUCGAAGCAGCAAGAGGCCGCUCCGCACCCCUCCACACCCCAACCCCCCGGCCAUGGCCUUCAGCACCACGCAGCGGGCAGAGUUCAUUCCCUGGGAGCUGGGCCAGAGGACCAAGCCGCCUGUCCAGGAGGCGUAUCAGUGCCCACAGGAGCCCUUCCAAAGCCAGAGUCUGUACCGCCUCCACUUCCCGCCCAGGGAGCCGGUCGUGACCACCCUCCGGCAGCCCCCGACUCCCAGGCAGCCUGACGGCUCCGGCUUCCCCCACACCACCACCACCAAGGAGAGCUACAAAGGAUGGCGAGCGGAACACCCAGCCUGCUAUGGAGAGCCACCAGCCCUGGCAGGCGCUCUCCUGUCCCCUGACCGGGCAGCCGAGAUGGAAAGCACCACGCAGCGAGAGUUCACUGAGAAACGCAUCCCCAAACCGGAGCUGGUCAAAGGCCUCCAGGCUCAGCUCACCAUUGAAGGUGAUCAUGACAUGACGACAACCCACCAGAGCACCUACCAGUCUGUGCCCUUGGAGAAGCGGGUAGCCCAGUCACGCGGUAAAGGAGUAGUGCCAGCAGGGAAACGAGCCCAGGUGGAAUACAUGACCAAGUACCAGAGCGAUUUCCCAGCAUGCAGCUUGUUACCUGCACGGAUUCAGCCUGCUCAGCCUCCUCUGGACAACCUGGCAAUCAACCAGGGCUUCAGAUUUUCAGACGGUGCAGAGGGAAAGCUACCAUGGCUGGGACACCCGCAGAUACCCUCGUGCCUGCCCCAUCAAGCUGAAAGAGGAGCUGGCAGACUUGGGGAAAGAGAGGGAUGGAAAAUUCAGUGGAGACACUGUGACCAAGCUCUCUUACCCUCCUCUGCCCUUGGACAGGCCUCCGGGGACUAUCCAGUGGCCCCCCACAGUGCUGAGAUCCCUCCCUGCAAAGUUUGA